ACCCUUUCGGUCGCCUUUCAAUUUGAACCUCUCUCUCUCUCUCGUUCUCGUCUCCGAUCGCUUCUCGGCGGUUGUGAUCGAGGAAGUAGUACCGCAUUACGUUGUAAGAGAAGAGGCGAGGGCUUCUUCUGCUUCUUGGCCUACUUCGAUCGACGGUGGGGGAUGGCUUCCGGGAGCUACAGGAACGGAGGCCCCAAACCGACCUCCAAGCUCGACCGCCUGCCCCCCUCCACUGCCUACUCCACGCCCAAGCCCUCCGCCAAGCCCAGGCCCUCCGCCGCUCCCGUCCCUCGUCGUGGCGGCUCCGUCGCUCCUGCCGCUGCCUCCGCCGGCAAAGCCGGCGGCGAUGCUGGAGUUCCUGGAAGAGUUAGAGUGGCUGUAAGACUUCGGCCUAGAAAUGCAGAGGAAACAAUAGCAGAUGCAGAUUUUGCGGACUGUGUUGAAUUGCAGCCUGAGCUUAAAAGGUUAAAGCUCCGCAAGAACAAUUGGGAGUCAGAAACCUAUGAAUUUGAUGAAGUGCUGACAGAAUUUGCCUCACAAAAACGUGUAUAUGAAGUUGUUGCAAAACCUGUUGUGGAGAGUGUUCUGGAAGGGUAUAAUGGUACAGUUAUGGCCUAUGGACAGACGGGUACUGGAAAGACUUAUACUCUUGGAAGGCUUGGUGAGGAAGACACUGCAGCACGAGGCAUUAUGGUCCGUGCAAUGGAAGACAUUUUGGCAGAUACAUCUCCAGAGACCGAUUCUGUUUCUGUAUCAUAUUUACAGUUAUACAUGGAAAGCAUACAGGACCUUCUUGUUCCUGCAAAUGACAACAUUGCCAUCAUAGAAGAUCCAAAGACAGGGGAUGUUUCACUACCAGGGGCUACCAGUGUAGAUAUUAGAGAUCAAAAAAGCUUUAUGGAGCUCUUAAGAUUAGGAGAAGUGCACCGUUUUGCUGCUAAUACAAAGCUGAACACCGAGUCAUCUCGGAGCCAUGCUAUUCUAAUUGUCCAUGUUAAGAGGUCACUUAAGGGAAGACAUGAUGCAGAUCAUGGUUUUCCCAGUGAGAAUGGUACUAAUUCCACCUUGGUCAAAUCUUUCAGACCGCCCAUAGUUAGAAAAAGCAAACUUGUUGUUGUGGAUCUUGCCGGUUCAGAGAGGAUUGAUAAGUCAGGAAGUGAGGGGCAUACUCUAGAAGAAGCAAAGUCGAUUAAUCUAUCAUUAAGUGCUUUAGGCAAAUGCAUUAAUGCACUUGCUGAAAAUAGUCCACAUGUUCCAGUUCGUGAUUCAAAGUUGACAAGACUGCUUCGAGAUUCAUUUGGAGGCAGUGCAAGAACUUCGUUAGUGGUGACUAUUGGUCCAUCUCCUCGCCAUAGAGGAGAAACUGCAAGCACCAUAAUGUUUGGACAAAGAGCAAUGAAGGUGGAGAACAUGGUGAAACUAAAGGAAGAAUUUGAUUAUAAAAGCUUGUGCAGGAGGCUUGAUAUUGAGCUUGAUAAGUUAAUGGCAGAGAAUGAAAGGCAAAGAAAAGAUUUUGAAGAUGAGAUUGAGAGAAUAAGGACAGAAGCUGACAGCCAAGUUGCUGAAGUUGAAAAAGGCUACAAUAACACUCUUGAGAAUGAGAGGCUAAAGUACCAACAAGACAAUAUGGACUCAAUCAAGAAGCUUGAGGAGAAGUGGAUGGCUAAUGUGAAUAGAGCCAGAGUAGAACAUCAGAAUGCGUGUCUAGAAAAGGCUCCAACAACAUCCAGCUCAGCUGAUAUUGUCGAAGUCAGACAGUCACUCGAGAAUGAAAAGAUAUUGCGACAAUCUACAGAAGAGGUGGUUAUGAACCUCAAAUGUGAAAUAUCACACUGGAAAAGAUUAGAGGCAGCUGGCAAUUCUGAAAUUGUGAAACUUCGCAAGAUGCUGGACAGUGAAGCCAAUCAGAAACAUAAACUUGAAGAAGAAAUAGCAAUACUGAGAAGUCAGUUGUUGCAGUUAAGUUUUCAAGCUGAUGAGACAAGUAGGAGUCUUGACAGAGGUGAGUCUGGAAAAGCCUUAACCGGAUUUGAUUCCCUUGUACCACAAGCUAGGCAUCCCCACCUUAGAGAUUCAGCAAAUGGACCGAAGGCCUCAAUUGCUAAACUUUUUGAACAAGUGGGUUUGCAAAAAAUAUUGUCAUUGCUUGAAUCAGAAGAUCAUGAUGUUCGAGUUCAUGCAGUGAAAGUUGUAGCAAACCUGGCAGCCGAAGAAGCAAACCAGGAUAAGAUUGUAGAAGCUGGUGGUCUUACGUCAUUGCUGAUGCUUCUAAGAAACUCAGAGGAUGAGACUAUACGUAGAGUAGCAGCUGGUGCAAUUGCCAACCUUGCGAUGAAUGAAACCAACCAAGAGCUCAUAAUGGCUCAAGGUGGCAUUGUCUUGUUAUCUAUGACUGCUGCUGAUGCUGAGGACCCUCAAACACUUCGAAUGGUUGCUGGAGCCAUUGCUAAUCUAUGUGGAAACGAUAAGCUACAGAUGAAGCUUAGUGUAGAAGGUGGCAUUAAAGCCUUGCUAGGUAUGGUUAGGUGUGGGCACCCUGAUGUUCUCGCACAAGUUGCACGUGGCAUUGCAAACUUUGCAAAAUGUGAGUCACGAGCUUCUACUCAAGGAAAUAAGGUGGGUGUAUCUCUCUUAAUUGAAGAUGGAGCUCUUCCAUGGAUCGUAAAAAAUGCCAACCAUGAUGCUUCACCUAUAAGACGCCACAUUGAGCUUGCACUGUGCCACUUGGCACAACAUGAAGUCAAUGCAAAAGAUAUGAUCAAUGAGGGAGCUUUGUGGGAACUGGUUCGCAUCUCACGUGAUUGUUCACGAGAGGAUAUUAGAAUGCUGGCACACAGAACUCUGAUCUCAAGUGCUACUCUCCGGACAGAAUUGAGACGAUUGCACAUUGAAUUUUAAGAUGCCAAAAGUAGCCUGCCAUCUGCACAGUAUCUUGGCUUAGGUGUAUCUGGUUGUUUGUGAGCUUCAUAUCUCAGAGCGUUUGUAAAAGAAGAUAACAAAGGUUUGCCUAGCAUCUGCUUAGUACAAAACCAGUGGCGCAUGGAAGUAAUUAUCAUCCUUCAGCCAAAAGAGGUCAAGUUUUUCCUGCCAUUGGUUGGUGUCUGUUCAAACUGGUUAUGACUUGAGACCCUAAAUUCGGAUCUGCCCACACUGCAAAUGUAUUUGUUGAAGGUACUGUGUGAUCAAGACACUACCAAGCUGUGGUCAAUGAGGUCAAGAAAAUCUAUCCAAGGUAUAUGCUCCUUUGACUUUGCAAAACCAAUGUAAUUGUCUGUUAGUGGGGCAUCAACUCCCAACAAAGUGCCCACGGAUAUUCCAAUCAGUAACUAAUAUUCUGUGGUAGGAUUAUCGGAGGCAUUGACAGAUCACACAGACAGGAGAAUUCAUUCAAUAUGAUAUUACAGGUUCAAACUGCAACAUGUAUGUUGGAAUGCCUUUAGGUUUUCACUCACUUUAUAAUUUUGGAUUGUUUAUUAUUGGCAGGAAGAUUUUCAAGUUUUCUUGUUGCAUUUUAAAGCUGUAAGGGCUAAAAAUUGGAUGAUAAAACUCUGCAUUCAAGUAUAUUUGUGACAAAUCUAAACUCUCUGUUUCUGAAGUAGCUGCAGGAGCAAUUGUUUGAUAUUUCCGUUUAUUUAAUUAAUAGUUCGACCAACAGUAUAUAGAAUUAGGUGGUAAGAGAUAUGUCCUGCUCUGUUUAGAUGAAAAAAAAAGGCAGGAACUUGGCAUCAGAAAUUUAUUAUGUAGUUCCACCGAUUCCUGCUCUCGAUUUACUUGUAUCAUCUUUUUGAAACAAAGCCUAUGUGACUUCCGAUGACAAGCAACCUGCCACCUUUUUAUGAGAGCUUACCCAACUUUCUCUCACUCUAUCCAGUUUGCUCAUGCUUGCUACUACCAGCCAUCACAUCUCACUCUUCGGUCCACUGCUCUGUUGCCGGAAAGCUGAAAAGGAGAUCUACAGCUGGUAGCUGCUUGAUUGGAAAGCAGCAGCAAAUCCUGAGAACAAAGGCUUACUAGAUUUGGUACAGAUCAUGGAAGUAUCAAAGCUUUUGGAGGUGCAUGGAUUUGGCUUCAUGCUUUUGCUCAAAGUUAUCUUAUGGUAGUGUUUUCCUGCUGUCUUAAAAUCUUUAGAAUGGUGCAGAUUUUAAAGCUUCUCAAAAUCUCAUUAGUAUACUGUACUUCUGUGGCGACCUCGGAGAUCUCUUGAUGGAUCAUAUGUCCAUUGUUGCCAUCCACAAGACCCAACUACGUACAGCAGCAGCAGCAAACAGUAUGGCACUGUUUCCCACUCAUCGAUGGCGGGCACCCAUCCAAGAGGUGUGGCCGUCCCCUUUCGGUACCACGAAGCACAGAUUACUCGCACAACCCGCAUGAGAACAUUUAAUUUGCUGCUGCUUGGAGUUGUCAUCUUUGGAAAGCUCAUGACAUGAGAACUUUCGCUGCUCUGGAGAGACAGAAAUGAUGACUGAGGAGGCCUCUGUUUUACCUUCCGUCACAGGACUUCAAUGCCCACGGUUCACCCUGUACAUUGCCAAUAUGACUUGUGUCAGUCCUAUAGCAUUGACAUCAGGUCAAGAACAACUGCAGAAUACAACAGCACUCUCUCUCUCUC